rnacentral:rRNA from 1 species
UACGUAGGGGGCAAGCGUUGUCCGGAAUCAUUGGGCGUAAAGAGCGUGUAGGCGGCUCGGUAAGUCCGCUCUGAAAGCCCGGGGCUCAACCCCGGGAGGCGGGCGGAUACUGUCGGGCUAGAGUCCGGAAGAGGCGAGUGGAAUUCCUGGUGUAGCGGUGAAAUGCGCAGAUAUCAGGAGGAACACCGGUGGCGAAGGCGGGUCUCUGGGCCGUAACUGACGCUGAGGAGCGAAAGCGUGGGGAGCGAACAGG